UUCCAGAAUUUCCAGCUUAUUAUGACAGCUGUCACAUUUAUACACCGAAUCUUCUAAAGAUGAAUAAAAAAACUCGAUUUUUAAGUAAAAUUUCAUUGAAAGUGAACGUGUUAUUUAUUGUUAUGUUAGUUUGUAAAGUAUCGUGAUUUAUCGACAGAAAUAAGAAGGAUUGAACUAGAAUAAUUUAUUGAGAGAUACUGAUCAAUAUUUGGGGUAAAUUGGCGCCGAUUUAUUUAUUAUUUUAUUAAUUGCUAUUUUGUUUUGAUUCGAUUAAAAAAGAAUUAAUACUUGAAAGAAUCAAUAAUUGUUUUCGCCUGUGGCGAUUCGAGACCUAGAAUGACAAUAAUGAUGAAAUUUCUCUAAGAAAGUAGAAAGAAAACUCCUUGGCCUUCAGCCGAUACGUCUGUCGGUCAACGAACACCAACAAAAAUAAUACUAGUAAUCAUAACAGGUGUUGAAUAUUUGACAAGGAAACAUGUUUUUAUGAAUAGACUAUUAUUAAAAUAACAAUUAUAUUAUUGUUUUAUGAAUUGUGUAUCUGUGAUUGUCAAUAUUAAGUAAAUAAUAGGAACUAAUAAAAAUAAAUGAAAGUGCGAAUGUCGUCCGUAAAACAGUGUUGCCAACGUCAGAAUUUUUCUCCUAGUUUUGGGGAAACGAAUUUUUAAAUGAAUCAAAUUGUUAUUUAUACAGCAUUUUCUCUUAAGUAAUCUGAAGAAAAGUAAUAAUUAGAAAAUAACUCAAUAUAAUGUUUGAAUUUUGCUUGGGUUAUAAGGACGUUAUCGAAAAGAACUAGAUGUUUCGUCAUCUCGUGUGGUAGGCAAAUAUUAAAGCAAAUAAUUUCAAGGUUAGGCAAUGGAUUUAACAUAACCUAAAAGUUUGAGUAGGGCUUCGGAAUAGCGAAGAGGGGCAUGUCGAGAAGUUUUUCUGACCCGAGACAUGCGUAAACAACAAGAAUUUUCCUUCGAGAAGACCCAACUUAAUUAUUAUUGUAUUAGUUUAGAUUAUUAUUAUUUAAAUGACGUAAUAAUAAUAUUUUUAGUCGUUGAUUUUUGUUAGAGUCGGUAUGGAA